CUUUCUCUCUUCCGUGAAGCUGGAUGCCACCGGAUCGACGCAUCCUCCGGCAGUUUCCUCCGGCGAUUGCUCCUCCUUCUCCGGCGAGCUCUCGCCUCACCACCGGCCAUCAAAUUUGGCGAAUCACAGCAUCCUCUUCGCCUCUCAUCUUCACCUCCAUUCGUGAAAUCAGUUGCAGAUCCGACAGCUUCAAUGGCUAACUCAGGCGAAAUUCACCAUACUCUUCACCAAUUUCACGAUUGCUCUCUCUUUUGGUGAAUCAAGAGGCAUUAGAUCCAUCUCUCAUCCAUGCCUCUUCUCGGUGUUCUCUAUUUUUGCCACGCCGAUGCCGGUCAGCCCAGAUUUUCCGGCAAGCUUCACAUCCUCCUUGGCAAGCCUUAACAUUCACUGCAACUGUCGACAAUCUCAGUUGAAUCACCUCAUAUGAUUAUCACUGGCUUCUUAGAGAACUCCACCUGAACCUGAAAUAUACCUUUCAACCCAAAUUCAGAAACCUUUAGAUACUCCACCUGGAACUAGUGAUUCCUACACCGUUCCAGUACUUAACAGGUAACACCAACUCCAAUUUAAAGCUUUACUCAAUUCUGACACUUGAGUACUUCUCACAAAACUGAAUCAUCUUGUUUCAACCUGUUUUGCGAGACUGUUGGAGUUACCUGUAGCCGCAGCUCCACCUCAGUGGAUGUUGAGAAGCUCGCAGCAAAGCUGGAACUUCUGGCCAGGUACCGUCUUAGUUAGGAAAUCUGCUGGAUUGACUGUUGUGUGGAUUUUGUGUAGAACAACAUCACCCUUAGACACUAUAUCCCUGAUGAAAUGAAAUUUAGUGUCUA